rnacentral:rRNA from 1 species
UACGAAGGGGGCUAGCGUUGUUCGGAAUUACUGGGCGUAAAGCGCACGUAGGCGGACAUUUAAGUCAGGCGUGAAAUCCCGGAGCUCAACUCCGGAACUGCCUUUGAUACUGGGUGUCUUGAGUGUGGAAGAGGUGAGUGGAAUUCCGAGUGUAGAGGUGAAAUUCGUAGAUAUUCGGAGGAACACCAGUGGCGAAGGCGGCUCACUGGUCCAUUACUGACGCUGAGGUGCGAAAGCGUGGGGAGCAAACAGG